GGAAAUUGGGGCUAAAUAUUGUUUGUGAUAUGCUGUUCAAUAUUUUGGCAGAGGCAAUUUAUACCUUAAGGUAAAUUUGAAUUAUGAUUGUACAUAUUCAAAAGUUUUUUAUAUUUUUUACCGAUGUAGAAAAAGGUCAAGUUGUAAUGUUAUAUAACAACAAUCUUAUAUUAUUAUCAGGAAAUUCUUCCAGUUCCAUCACCUUCAAUUUUUCUAACGGUGGUUUGUUUCUUAGUAGCUCAGUUUUAAUUUCUAUUGCACCUUAUUGAUGACAAUACAUGUUUGUUUUCAUUUUUUAUAUUUAAUAACUGAUCAUUGAUCAACUAAUCAUAUAAUACUAUUACAUGGUAUUGGUAUUAAUGUUUAUAGAAUACUGUCAUGUCAUUAAUGUAUAUGCAUGGAUAUUGGUUCUCUAUAUCGUUGAGUGUGUGAAGUUUGUGGAAGAUCCACAACUUGGGAAAGAAUUCUGAAUUCAAUUUUGUGUGCAUGCGAGGGAAACUAUAAAUAAAUUACUAUUUUGAGUGCAUUUUGCUUUGCAGUGUUAUUUAUUUCCAUUGCCUCUUUACAAUGGUAAAUAUGAAAGGAUAAUUUGGUGAUAAUUUUUUCAGGGAUGAACAUAGCGGUUAGCACCACCUGAAUGCGCUUGGAUCUUAAAUCUUCAAUUGUCAUCUCUAGUAUUAAUGCCUGAAUUCAUUGAUACGCCUGCAUUCUUGAUCUCCACCAAGGGUUCUAUUCUAGGCAUUUGACUUUUGCGAUAGGCCCUGUCAACUAAGAUUUGGUCCAGGAAGCUCUUUUAGGGUAAGUAGUGUUUAAAAUGGUUUCAAUUUCGGUUAUCAUUCUUAUAUAAUUAUUGGUUCUUUAUUCUUUUGAAAGUUAAAAUGCAUGCUUUGGUCUAGCAUGAUUAUAUGAUGAGGUUUAGGACCCAUUGAAGCCAUAGAAAAUCAAAUUUAAUUUUACACAAAAUUUAAUCUUACGCCAAAUAAAUAGUCUCAUGUUUAUCAUAUGUUAAUAAAGAAGUUUUCUGUAAAUUCUAAUGUGGCGAUUUACUAUGGCUAUAGUUCAGCAACUGGAUUUAUGUUAAUCCCUUUCUUUGCGGAGUUACUAUAAAGUUUAUCUAGUUGUACACAUCAUUCAAUGGGUCCUAUUCCUAACAUGAAUGUGUUGGUCUUGCUUCAACAGUUGAUUAUGUAGGUUGAAGUUAUAUGGUACACUAGUCCAUCCUAUAUGCUCAACCAAUUGUUUUGUUAUAUACGAGAAGGUUUGGUUUUUAAAAAUUUAGAGAUAACAUUUUCUUAUUCAAACUAUGGGGGUCUAACCAAAUUAAUUCACAAAAUAUAUCCUGCCAGUCAUAUAUAGUUAUGUCAUAAAAUCACAACCACGUUCGAUCAAGACUCUGUAGGUUUUCUUCCUAGUCUAAUUGAUGGAUGCUAUCUUGAAUGUUUUUAGAGGUGGUGAAAGUGCAUAUGGUGAAGAAUUGGUACUUUUGAUUUUGUUCAGCUUUAUUUGUUACUAUUUGAUUAUUUUAUUUUGGACCUUCACUUACAAGCUUUAAGCAUGCUACUUUGGGUUGAGUUCCAUUGAACAAAUUAGAUUGGUGACACAAUGCCAACAUUAUUUAACUGUUUGUGUUUAAUAUUUGUAUCCUUCAUUGCUUCCCUUGCGGUGGAUUGAAAUUAGUCUGUUAGUUUACUCUGCUGUCCUAGCUAUCUCAAUAUAAUCCGAGAUAUAUCUGUUUAAUUUUACAGUAUUCUUUUGUUAAGAAUUGUGAAGUUCACACAUCUAGGAUUGGCUAUUUUAACCAGUGGAGUGCUUUGACCUUCGGUUUAGCUGCAUAUAAACAUUUGUACAGAAAACAGUUUUCUUUUUUACUGCUAUAUAUACAUAUGUACAGAAAACAGUUUUCUUUUUACUGCUAUAUAUUGAUUGCUGCUCCCAAAGAAGAUCGUUAGGAAGAGGGAGGAUUGAAGCUAAUUUCCUAAGGAUAUUUUGGAUACUUGAAUGUUAAUUUAGUAGUUUUUUAUUUGAUUCAAAAAAGAUAUUUUGAGAACCAUCACCAUUUGGCAAACUAUCUUUUAUUAAGAAUAGCAUCUAACACACUAAAAGAUAAUUUUGUAAUUAUAAUAUUUAGAUCCAAUCAAAUAAUAUAUAAGUGAUUUGUAAGAUAUGUCAAACUAUUGGCACUCUUAUUGGUUAGAACACGCUACGAGAUUCAGUGGGAGAAUGAAAGAUAUGAAAACGCGAUCAUCUGGCGCAAUUGUUAGGGGGUUUUAAAUUAAUAUGAAGCAAAUUUUUCGGCCCUCUAUAUUUAUGACUUGUGUUUACUUGUUUCCUCAUUGUGCAUGGUAUUUAGUCCAAAAUCUUAAGCUCGUGUUCUCUACUACACUACCCUCAAUGUUUCUCUUUAUGCAAGCAUUAAAAUUGUUGAAACAAAAUGUGGAGGACCAUCAUGUUGAACUAACUGGUAAGAUCGACCAUCAUGGCCUCAAGGUUCAACAGAUCAGUUAUUACUUUUAGUUGGCACCUUAAGUGCUAAUUUACAUUGAGUC
rnacentral:lncRNA from 1 species